rnacentral:lncRNA from 1 species
UUUUUUUAAUUUUUUUUUUUUUUGUUAAUGGUCAGUAUAUUGAAGCACUAAAUUGUGGUUGGUUUCAGAUUUUAACUACAUAUAUUCAAGAUUGCUCCUUUUUUUGUGUUUUUUUUUUAGAAUCAAGAAUGUAAGUGAACAUAUUAAAAUUUUGUUCUUUUUCCAGGUUAUUGUCAUUUUGUGCAAAAAGGGGGUGUUUUUCUAAUCUAUAAGAGUUGUUCUGGUGAUUUAUUGAGUUGAAAAAUGCCGGAUAUUGAGAGACUUGUGAAUGAUUUUGUUGCAAAGCUCAGCAAACGGUUAGUACUGCAGUUAUAGGAAAUAUCUGAAAGAAUCACUUGUUUGAUUUGAUUGGCUAAUAUGGUUAUCUGCUUUUCUGUUUUUGAAUGAUAGUAAGGUUGAAGGGUCACAAGCAACUUCGCGGCUAACAGCAGAGUUGCUUCGUUCUGUAGUUUCGUUGCAAAGAUUGCCACCUACUAACUCAGCUGCAGUGCUCAUUGAGGCUGUGAGCGGUAUAGGUGUUAAAUUGGUUGCUGCCAACCCUGUUGGUAAGCGUUUUAUCCGCUAAUACAUGAAUGAGGAUCUGCUUGUAGAUAUUUUGAUGUUCUAGAAUGGAAUUUAUUUUUUUAAGUAUACGAGUUAUUCAAUCCUAGUUGGUAGUGGAAAUUUGGAUGCUGGGGAUUUCUUUUAAGCGUAUAGGUUGGGACAGGAUAUUUGUCUCUGUUAUGCAGUCUUCUUGUGUUCCAAAUGAACGGAAAAAUUCUUUCAAUGAUAUAUUUGCUUCGUGUCUAGUUUGAUACCAGUUGCUUCACUUGCUCAAAAUAUAGAAAAAAAUUGGAUAUGCCUGAUUAACUAGUUGUGUUAACUUUGUUUACUAGUCAUGUGUAGGAGUAGGAGUAGGAGUAGGACUUAUUUGAUCUAUGGGUUUAGUGUAAGUCAUUAACUGCAGCUGCUGCUCCAUUUGUUUGUUUCAUUUUAGGACUCGAAUGCUGUUAACAUGUAGUGCUAUACUUUUUUUUUGUUGAAAUGGUAACAACUUUGUAUUAAAAUCAUAAAAAGGCUGUGAAAGCCAUAAUUAAGGAGAAACUGAAGCAAAAUAUAAACUGUGAGUUCCCAGUGAAACGAUUUGAGUGUGUUGAGGAAUUCAGUGAUUCUGUCCACCUCCCAAUCAUUUAAGAGUCUCCUGAACUGUAGUUCCAACCUUGAUUUGAGUGUUGGGUGUACUUCUGCACAUUUUCUUAGGCAUGAACCCCAUGUCUCAUUAUUUGUCAGUCCAAUUACUAAAGGAUGUGUAUAUAUAUGUAAAAGGGCCCGGUGCACGAACAUCCUGCGUUCACGCAGGGUCCGGGGAAAGGUCACAUCUGAAGGUGUUGUGUAGGAAGCUAUCCUGACGCAAGCAUCCGUCACUAAUUUCACUGCUUGAGCCCGUUGAUUUCAAUGCAAGGAUUGUCAACAGUACUUCAAAUUGAUACCAGUUGCUUCACUUGCUCGAAGUAUAGAAAAAAUUGGAUAUGCCUGAUUAACUAGUUGUGUUAACUUUGUUUACUAGUCAUGUGUAGGAGUAGGACUUAUUUGAUCUAUGGUUUAGUGUAAGUCAUUAACUGCAGCUGCUGCUCCUUUUGUUUGUUUCAUUUUAGGACUCGAAUUCUGCUAACAUGUAGUGCUCUACUUUUUUUUUUGUUGAAAUGGUAACAACUUCGUAUUAUAAUCACAAAAAGGCUGUGAAAGCCAUAAUUAAGGAGAAAGUGAAGCAAAAUAUAAACUUUGAGUUCCCAGUGAAACGAUUUGAGUGUGUUGAGGAAUUCAGUGGCUCUGUCCGCCUCCCAAUCAUUUAAGAGUCUCCUGAAACUGAAGUUCCAACCUUGAUUGCUCCAAAUGUCAACCCUUUGUUUUUUAUUUAAAAUGAAAACAUUCGGAUAUAAGAGCUUGAGAGAGCCAUCUCCUAUACAGUUGUCCUCCCAAAAGGAUGUUUCAAGUCGAUUACCAACUUUAGUGCUUAUCUUGCUGCUGAAAAUUUGCCAGAGAUUUCUGAUAGUCUUCUGGACACUGACCCCAUACACAAUGUUGAUUGAUUUUGUCUUCUAUGGUCUUCAUCUCCAUAAUUAUCUUUGAUCACCUUCUUCCACAAAGAUUGAUCUUUGUUGGAAUAUCUCCAUAAUCACUUCAUGAGCAGACUUUGAUUCUGCUUUCUAAGGUUCUUUAUACCUAGUCCUCCUUGCUUUUUACCGAGGGUAAGAGUUUUCCACUUCACAAGGUGGAAGCCUCUUCUUUCCUUGCCAUAAAAGUUUCCUUGUUACUCUCCUCCCUCUGUCAAAGCUAAGACAUAUACCUCUGCUAUGCUAACUAUUUGCACACAUGCACAUUUAGGGAGAGGAGGAGGAGGGAGAAAUGGUGCCCUAGUUUCGAUUUAUUUCACUGUUUAGGUGUGCUUCUGCACAUUUUCUUAGGCUUGAACCCCAUGUCUCAUUAUUCGUCACUCCACUUACUAAAGGAUGUGUAUAUAUAUGUAAAAUGGCCCGGUGCACGAACAUCCUGCGUUCAUGCAGGGUCCGGGGAACAGUCACACCUGAAGGGGGUGUAGUGUAGGAAGCCUAUCUUGACGCAAACAUCAGUCACUUAAUUUCACUGCUUGAACCCAUUGAUUUCAAUGCAAGGAUUGUCAACAGUACUUCAAAUUGAGAAUUUAUAGUAAAUUAAUGACUUCUGAAUUCUGAUAGCACUCUAGAUUAAGUAAUCAUAUUUAUUUAUGCCAAGAAUGAUAUAACCAAAAUUUGAUGAAAUUGCAGAGCUUGCUGUUGGAAAUAUUGUUAGGCGUGUUCUUCAUAUUAUCCGGGAGGAGGAUCUCUCUCUUUUGACCAGUAAAACGAGCGACUUAGAUUUAUCAGCUGCAAGUGAUGAUGAAGGAACCAUAGACCAGGAUUAUGACCCAACUCAAUCUGCUGCCGCAGCUGCAGCUGCAGCUAAGAGUUUUCUACGGCCUCCUUCAUUGCAUGCACUUCUGGAGAAUAUGUCGGAUAAAGCUGUACCGAGUAACAAUUACACCUCCUCUUCAGGUGGAGAUUCUGAAGAGAAAACCAAAGGUAAAUGCUCCUGUGCUACAUGAAUUUGAAGCAAUCUAGUCAUUUUUUAGUUUCAGUACUGAAUUAUCUGUUAUUCUGUGUUGCAGCUGAUAAACUUGCCAGGACUCGGAAGUUAAAGCAUGAUGUUAUUGAGGCAAUUAACAUAUUAAUUGAAGAUAUUGAUACUUGUCAUGAUCUGAUUGCAGAACAGGCAGUUGAGCAUAUUCACCAAAAGUAUUUACCUUUCGCAUGUACUGGAAAAUGUGUCUUCAUUUUGUUAUGCACACUACAUAUUUCAAGUAACAUUGUAGCAUGAUUUGAACACAUGCAAUGGAUAUUGUCGUUUCACUGUUCCCCAUAGUUUGUUGUCCAGGGGUUUUCCCUUUGCAGUUCACAAAAAAAUUAUGAUAGGUUACUCAAGACUUACAGCUUGGGUGCGAGGAAAAUGCUACUUCCCUUGAUGGAUAGACAUUUUAUCUGAUAAAUUAACACAUUUUCUUCAUCAGUGAAAAAUCUACUGUUCCAACCUUACUGUGAAAAUGACAAAGAUAGGUUUGUAGCUUAAACAUUUUGCAAAAUAUGUGGUUGCUUUCCUUCUUUACAUUGCUCCGGGGUGAUAUUGUUACAAUCAUUAUUGCAAGGCAAUUUUUUUUGUUGUUUUAACUUUCACCUCUAAUGUAUUUAUUUGUUCUUUUUCACUCUCUUUUCUAGGCAUAUAGCUGCAUAGUUGUGGUGAAUGUAUGUAAUUUAAUUAAAAUGUGAUAGCUAAUUAACAAAUGCAUUUUUUUCAGUGAAGUAAUACUAACACUAGGUAGUUCGAGAACUGCCUUUGAAUUCCUCUGUGCCGCAAAAGAGAAAAAACGGUCUUUUCGGGUGGUUGUUGCAGAGGGCGCACCGAGGUUUGUGGAGUAUUCUGUAAUUUCCGAGAAAUAAAUGAAACAUGAACCUUCUUUUUCAUUGUAACUGUAAAAUUUCCCCUCUUUGUUUGUGCUUGAUCAGGUACCAGGGGCAUGCUCUUGCAAAAGAGCUGGUAUCAAGAGGUCUACAAACUAUAGUUGUAACAGAUUCUGCUGUUUUCGCAAUGAUUUCUAGAGUAAAUAUGGUAACUUUCUGGAUUGGCUAUUUUUAUGCGUUGUACCAAUCUGUAACCUUGUUCUGCUGCUUCGGCUACCUGCGCUCAGAACCGUAACCUUGUUCUGUAGGUUAUAGUGGGAGUUCAUGCAGUGAUGGCCAAUGGUGGUGUCAUUGCACCUGUUGGAAUGAACAUGGUUGCACUUGCCGCUCAAAAGCAUGCUGUUCCAUUUGUCGUAGUUGCUGGCAUUCACAAGGUAUCUGAGCUUUAUUAUCUCUACGUAUUACUCCCUCCAUUUCAAUUUGUUUGUCUUACUUUCUUUCUUAGUUUUUCAAAACGAAUUCCUCUUUCCUUUUUUGGCAACUUCUUAAUUCUAACUUUCCACAUGACAUAUUUUAAGGUCACAAGAUUGAAGGGCAUUUCGGUAUAUUCCACAUAUCUUUAGUUUAAGACCACAAGAUUAACAGUCUUCUUUAUUUUCUUAAACUCCGUGCCAAGUCAAAACCAACCAAACAAAUUGAAAUGGAGGGAGUUUUUUUUUCCUUACCCCUCCCCAGGGUUCCAGACUUUUGCUCCUUUGGUGACUUGAACCACAAUCUUAGAGUUGGAGGUGGGACGUGCUUACCAUCCGUGCAACUCCGAGUCUGAAAUGGAGGGACUAACUAUCAAAAAGGUAUUAUUAAGGUGUGUGUGUGUGGGGGGGGGAGGUUGGAGAAGAGAAAGAGGUCAUGAGAACUAUCAACUUGUACAGUCCAACCGUUUAAGUGGCUAUUCUUUUAACUUAACUAUUGGCGAUUUUUAUACCUCUUGCUGAUUAUCAUUCUCAAUUUAGAAGGCUCUGAUAACAUGAGAAGAACUCAGCUUUUCAGGUUUACUAAAUGAUGUUCAGAACCUUUAAAUGGUGUAUAAGGUUGAUGUAAAGCUUUGCAGAUCCUUGAAUCCAUUUUGAGUUGACCAUAAAGUUAAUCCUUUUUACGCUUGCCACUAGAGCAGCAAACUCUUUUUCUACUUCUCGCUGUACUUAUCAUUAGCUAGUCCGUUCAACUGUUUUCUUUCUGCUACAGUUGUGCCCUUCAUAUCCACACAAUCCAGAGGUUUGUCUGAAUGACAUGCGAUCCCCUGCUGAACUUCUCGAAUUCGGGCGAUUUUCAAACUGCAUGGAAUUUGGAAUGGAUAGUGGGGCUCCUCUUCAAGUUGUUAACCCUGGUUUUGAUUAUGUGGCACCUGAGCUUGUCAGCCUUCUCAUCACCGACAUGUGAGGAUUCUUUACCAUUUUCGAAUUUUUAUUUGUCUUUGCAACAACGAUGCCUCAAUCCCGAACUAAUUUUGGCUUGCACAUAACAAAGUAGCUUGGAUAAUACAGUUCUACAUUGUAUCAUCUACUAAUAUACAGGAAUCUUUUGUUUUGUUAUGUUUAGUAUAGGUUAAAUAAUUAAUUCAUGUUCCAUUCAGUAUUGAUGAUUCAAUUUACUUUUCAAAAAAAGAAGUAAAUUGGACUUAGACAGACUUAAGGAUCAACAUGGACCAUGAGGAUUAGCCGACCCCACCUUGCUUGGGAUUGAGGUUUAGUGGUUGUUGUGUUUAAGAGGGCGUGCAAGGGGAAUUCGUAAUGUAUUAAUUUGCCACUUUGGGAAUUAAUAAGCAGUUUUAUGAUAAUAAUACUCCUUGCAUCUUUCUGAUCUACAGUGGAGGGCAUAACCCGUCAUAUAUGUAUCGUCUCAUAUCGGACUACUACUCAGCUGAUGAUUUUGAUUUGCAAGGGAGGAUACAUAAAUGAAGGUGAUUCUUCCUUUAAAUUCUGGCUUUGACUUCCAAAUAAUCUUUCUGAACAUUGAACAUGUUUGUUGGCCAUUUUUAGGAGAAAAAAUUGACUGCUUCAGCAAUGAAAGCUACUUUUAUUAUUUAACCCUGGUUAAUUUGCUAUCUUCUGUACAUAAUGUCAAAUAAAAAUAUAAGAAAAUGAAUCUUUUUAUAAAGCGUCUAUAAACGCAUCAGAAUCUAUAGCAUAGCAAGAACUAUAAAGAAGGAAAGAAAAGCAAAACAAAGUUUUAUCUCAAUUUCAGACUACUGCAUUUCCUAGCCUUGGAUUAACUUGAUUCAGUGCUUAUAUUGGGUGCGAGUAAGUUUUUACCUCCUGAAAUCAAUCUUUGUUGGCGAGUUACUAUGUAUCUUUCGUCUAUUAGACUCUUACUACGACCAUACAAAAACUUGUGUGAUUGUUGCUUUAAUGAGUUUUUUGUUUUUGCAGAAAGUAUCUUGAAGCUCCUUACUGAAUUUAAGCAAUACAUGCUGAUUUCAGGCAUCUUUUGGAGAGCUGUAGUUGACUGAUGAAGAGAAGUGGCAACCAAAAAAUCAAAUGGAAUGUGUUUGUUAUCUACUUUGGUGGAUAGCUUUAAAUGAGCUUUUUAGCAUAAACACUUUCUGAACAUACUGUACUUUGUUCAGACUAAGUUUUGACUUGUUUAAUGUAAUGUAAUGUGUCCAAGGUGGUAAUAUUAGUUUGUUUCGUUCUUGUUAUAGAUGAAUGUUUAGAUGAACUUUACCUCUUGAAUUACAUCAAUCCUUAUAUGCAUUUGUCUCUCUUGAAUGUAAAGGUUAAACGAGUAUCGCGCACACACAAAUAUAUACCUCACAGGUCUUUCGAGAGGUUAAAGAGCAUCUAACGCAAAAAGGACCUUUCAUUCCCUUUUUUGCUUGUGCAUAACCACUCUUCAGAAGCACCCCCAGCAUAGAGGGACCAAAAAACACCUUUCGUUCUUCACCCUUAGUCCGCGACUAAGUGGGGAUUAUCUGAACUUCAGAAGCAGUGUCAACAGCCUGCAUUUCCAGGUUAAAUUGUUCUUUUUUAAGAUAUGAGAGAAUAUUGUUGGUAUUCAUGAAAGUAGGUGAUCAAGAUAUGAUUGGAGAGUAAUAUCAUGAAAGCAUAUAACUACAAAUUAACAAGCAAUGCCAAAAAAUAAAGUUAUGGUUUUUGAGGGCAUCAAAAUUAGUGUCCAAACAAAUAUGCUCUCAGGUUCCAGGUUCUACUUCUUGCUGAGAUCAAUU